rnacentral:rRNA from 1 species
UACGGGGGGGGCAAGCGUUGUUCGGAAUUACUGGGCGUAAAGGGCUCGUAGGCGGCCAACUAAGUCAGACGUGAAAUCCCUCAGCUUAACUGGGGAACUGCGUCUGAGACUGGAUGGCUUGAGUGCAGGAGAGGAACGCGGAAUUCCAGGUGUAGCGGUGAAAUGCGUAGAUAUCUGGAGGAACACCGGUGGCGAAGGCGGCGUUCUGGACUGCAACUGACACUGAUGAACGAAAGCCAGGGGAGCAAACGGG